GUUCUUAGUAAUGGAAUUUAGACAAAAAAAAAAAAGGUUCUCACAGGGCAAGGCUCAUCCAUUGCACUCCGGGUGUGCUGACCCCUGCGAUUUCCACAAAUGCGGGAAACUUGACUGCAUAAUUUGUGGUAGUGGGGAAUUGUGUUCGCGCUCUCCCCU